UACGAAGGGGGCUAGCGUUGCUCGGAAUCACUGGGCGUAAAGCGCACGUAGGCGGCUUUUUAAGUCAGGGGUGAAAUCCUGGAGCUCAACUCCAGAACUGCCUUUGAUACUGGGAAGCUUGAGUCCGGGAGAGGUGAGUGGAACUCCGAGUGUAGAGGUGAAAUUCGUAGAUAUUCGGGAGAACACCAGUGGCGAAGGCGGCUCACUGGCCCGGUACUGACGCUGAGGUGCGAAAGCGUGGGGAGCAAACAGG
rnacentral:rRNA from 1 species